ACUGCAGCAGCAAGCAGCAUAUAUAUCAAAAAUUGACAUGAUACAGAGACUAGCACGGCCCCUGAGCAGAUAUGACAUGCAAAUUUUUGAAAUGUUUAUAUUAAGA
rnacentral:snRNA from 1 species